rnacentral:rRNA from 1 species
UACGGGGGGGGCAAGCGUUGUUCGGAAUUACUGGGCGUAAAGGGCUCGUAGGCGGCCAACUAAGUCGGAUGUGAAAUCCCCAGGCUUAACCCGGGAACUGCGUGUGAUACUGGAUGGCUUGAAUUCGGGAGAGGGAUGCAGAAUUCCAGGUGUAGCGGUGAAAUGCGUAGAUAUCUGGAGGAAUACCGGUGGCGAAGGCGGCAUCCUGGACCGACAUUGACGCUGAACGGCGAAAGCUAGGGGAGCAAACGGG